UGGAUGGAUGUGUGUGUCGGAUUGGAGACGCAGAGAGAAAGGGCCGUAUCGAGGAAGUGACGGACGAGGCUCCGGGGACUGGUCAGAGGAAGUUUGCUUGAUGCUUGGUACCGUGCUGCUGCUGAACCAAACUUUUCCCUCCUUUGAGCAGCAGCGGCGCCGUGGAUCCGGACGGACUGAUCCAGAUCCAGAUCCAGCGGCGGAGACAGGGAGCUUUUGUUCCCGCUGAGGAAUAUCUUGGAGGUCGGGGAGAAAACGGGAGAAUCGCAGAGGAAUUUCAGUCCCUCAACCAAACCAACCCCCCUCUUUCUCUCCCCCUCUGUUCUUUCCUCCCUUCCUGGGAUCCGCGAUGGGGAAGGAGCAGGAACUUCUUGAGGCGGCUCGCACUGGAAACCUGGCCGCCGUGGAGAAGCUUUUAUCCGGGAAGAGGCAGUCCGCUGGCACCGGCGGAGGCGGCUCGUCUGGAGCCGGUGGAGGAGGCACCAGCGGCGGGCACGGAGCCGCGCUCUCCAGUCUGCUCAGUAUCUGGAGAGGCCCCAAUGUGAAUUGUGUGGACAGCACUGGAUACUCCCCUCUCCACCACGCCGCCCUAAACGGACACAGCGAGGUGGUGGAGGCGCUGCUACGAAACGAGGCCUUGACCAACAUCGCCGACAACAAGGGCUGCUACCCGCUCCACCUGGCUGCGUGGAAGGGAGACGAACACAUCGUCAAACUGCUCAUUCACCAAGGGCCUUCACACCCUAAGCUCAACGAGCAGAGCUCUGUAGACCAUAAAGAGUUCAAACGCUGUGGGCCCUUUGACCCCUAUAUUAAUGCCAAGAACAAUGACAACGAGACGCCGCUGCACUGUGCUGCCCAGUACGGCCACACCCGGGUGGUGCGGCUGCUGCUGGAGGAGCUGACGGACCCCACCAUGAGGAACAACAAGUUCGAGACUCCGCUGGACCUGGCUGCGCUGUACGGCCGCCUGGAGGUCGUCAAGCUGCUGCUCAGCGCCCACCCCAACCUGCUCAGCUGCAACACCAAGAAACACACGCCGCUGCACCUGGCCUCUCGGAACGGACACCUGCCCGUGGUGGAGGUGCUGCUGGACGCCGGCAUGGACAUCAACUACGAGACGGAGAAAGGCAGUGCCCUCCAGGAAGCUGCCUUGUUUGGGAAGAGGGAUGUGGUGCAGAGACUUCUUAUUGCAGGUAUCGACGUGCGCAUCUCGGACCAGAAGGGCCUGACAGCGCUGGACACUGUCAAGGACAUGCCCUCGCAGAAGAGCAGAGAGAUAGUUGCUCUCAUCAUAGGUCACGUGGCUGGAAAACCCCCCGACAUUGACCUUCCCCCUCCACCGAUCCCUCCGCCUCAGGAGAGUCCCAGCCCACGGAAGAGGGGUGAAAUGGAGAAGGUGAGCGAGUUGAUCUCGGGGCUGGCCGAGGAGGAGAGCCCGUACGAGGCUCUGUUUGAAGCCACCUCUUGUCACUCUCUGGACAGCCUCACCAGCGGCAAGUCCUCCGACAGGGACUCAGGACGGCCGGAUAGCGAAGCUGGCAAGAAAGAUCGCCUGGUCCACUCGUCACAUCAUGGCCCUGGUCAUGAGGAAGAGGUGAGCUCAGAGGCCCUGUAUACUAACAGCAGUAUUGAUGAGAGAGGAGAGGAGGAUCACACAUAUGAGUUGUUGCUGACCGCUCAGACCAAACACCCAACGCCCUGCCAGGAGUCCCAAUCCCAUAGAGAUGAGAACACCACUAAACAGUCUUCCAACAGUGUCCUACCUCAGCGUAAACCCACUGCCCCGAACGACCUCAGAGCCCCGAGCAAGACGAAAGACACCCUGCACCUUCCUGGACGGGCGAGUCCGCGGGCACCGGGAGAUAACUCCCAGCUCAGCGAGGAUCAGGAAGCAGGUGUCCCGGACCUGUUCACCGGCCUCCUGCACGGAUCCUCCCCCGUCUUCGACAGCCGCGACGAGCCCUUCAGGCUCCCAGGUGUUGCGCCGUCCAACCAGGGCCAGCCAGAAAAAUCAAGAAAACCCGCCAAAGUAAAAGAGGAAGUAGUAGCAGCAGCAGCCGCGCCGCCGCCUAGCCGUCCCAGCAUGGCCGCCAUCCUGACAGACUGUGAUCCCAAAGCGAUUUAUGCAACUGUGAACAAGGAGCCCAGGGACUUGGGGGCUGGGGCGGUGUCCAGCGUUAGGAUGCGUCCUCCUGGGGACCUGAAGCUGGCACGCAGCCUCUCCAAGUCGGACUCCGACCUGCUCGUGUCGCCCCCUAGUGAGGAGGACGGAGGAUUGGGGAACCGUAGCGAGUCUGUUUCUAACUGUAGCACUGGCAAGAAGAGGCUCGAGAAGUCUCCCUCUUUCACCUCCGAAUGGGACGAGACACCGACGACUUCUCCCACCACAAAACAACGAAGAUCUAAUUCCGUCAACAGCAUCGAGAAGAUCAUGACACUGAUUGGUGCUGGCAUCGAUUUCUCCAGAGAUCAGCAAUAUGCUACGCCAGCAGGUGCUGCGGGCCGGCUGCUGGACCAGCCCGUGGGGGACUGGCUGGAGCACGUGGGGCUGCCGCAGUACGAGAGCAAACUGCUCCUGAACGGUUUCGACGACCUGCACUACAUGGGGAGCAAUGUAAUGGAAGACCAGGACCUGAGAGAGAUCGGGAUCACAGACCCGAGCCACAGGAAGAAGAUCCUGCAUGCAGCGCGUUCGUUACCCAAGGUGAAAGCUCUGGGCUGUGACGGCAGCAGCUCCCUCUCCUCUUGGCUGGAGAAUCUGGGCCUUCACGAGUACUUACCCAACUUCCUGACCAGCGGCUACCGCACUCUGGACUGUGUCAAGAACCUGUGGGAGCUGGAGAUUGUCAACGUGCUAAAGAUCUCCUUACUUGGUCACAGGAAACGCAUCAUUGCUUCCUUAGCGGAGAGGCCCUACGAGGAACCUCCAGUCAAGCCUCCUCGCUUGUCUCAGAUCAGGUGCCAAGACCUGCCCGGAUCCCAGACCUCGUCCCCCCUCAGUCAGAUGGAGUCCUACACAGGACGCUCAAUGGACCCUCUGCUGCCGGCGGGAGAGCCAGGGAGGAAAAAAGUGCCAGAUGCAGACUAUGACGUUGCCCAAAGAUAUCGCAGUGAACGACACAGACCACACGAACGGUACGAAGAACGUCAUCGAGAGUCCCGGCUGACCCUGCGGCCGCCAAGUCUGGCAGCACCGUACACCCCGGUCCAGAACUGGCAUCAUCAACCUGAGAAACUCAUCUUUGAAUGCUGCGCCUACGAAGCCAGUUACCUCGGCUCCAUGCUUAUCAAGGAUCUACGGGGUACCGAGUCCACGCAGGAUGCCUGUGCCAAAAUGCGGAGGUCGACAGAACAAAUGAGAAAAGUCCCGACCAUCGUUCUCUCCAUCACCUACAAGGGUGUGAAGUUCAUUGAUGCAGCCAAUAAGAACAUCAUCGCAGAGCACGAGAUCCGUAAUAUCUCGUGUGCGGCCCAGGACCCGGAGGACUUGUGCACGUUUGCCUACAUCACCAAGGACCUGCAGACCAGCCACCACUACUGCCACGUGUUCAGCACAGUAGACGUGAAUCUGACGUAUGAGAUUAUACUGACGCUUGGCCAGGCGUUUGAGGUAGCCUACCAGCUGGCUCUGCAAGCCCAGAGGACCAAACAGCAGCAGAACCUCCCAGCGGGAUCCGGCUCAGACGUCAUCGAGACCAAGUCCAGCCGACCGGUACCCAGACCUCGAGGCAGCGUACGGAAGUCAGCGGACUCUCCUCCUCUCGACAGUCGUUGCUGUUACUGUUACACCUGCACCACCCAUCGUCCCUCCUUCCUCCCGCUGCACUCUGCCAGCCCUGCUGCCCAGGGGGACCUCGUGGAGCAGGAGGGGGAGUCUCAGUCCCAGGGCAGCGCCACGUGGCUCGUGGACCCCAAGGAAUCCAAGCGCACUAUCAGCACUAAGUACGAGACCACCAUAUUCUGAGUGGACCCCUCUUCCUUCCCGACCUCUGACCUCUGGGCCUGGUCUCACCCCUCUUCCUUCCCCUCCUUCUGUGUGCCUUUCACUGUGACUCUGCCUCUGGACCCCUGCUUUCCCCCGUCUCCCUUCAGCCGUCGCUCGUGUCCUCACCUGACAACGACACACUCUGAGAUGCUUUGCUCCUUCCUUGUGCUAAACCACCACCUCCGCUUCUACACCUUUUAUUGAUUAUUAGUGCAGCCCCUUCGCUUUAUCACUCACACUACCAACCUGCCGCUCACCUUCACCGUUAUGAUCCUCUCUAUUUACCUUGUAUGCUUCCUGAACUCUGUGUACAAUGCUUCCUUUACUUCCCCCCCGUCAACAUCCCACUGUUGACUCUUGGUGAUAAGCUCUUUUUUUUUUCUUGGUGCUUUUCCUGCUCUGUUAGGCGACGGCCGCUCUGAGGCUUUUUCACUCUGAUCUUUCAACUCCUGACUCCUCCGAGUGCUGAGAAAAUCUGAUUUACCACAACCGAGAGUGACCCCCUGACUGCACACAUCCUGUACCUGGACGGACAUGUUUCCUGAGGAAACUGACAAACCGAUCCUGUAAUUCUAUGCGUCAGUUGGACUGUUCGAUGGUGUUAUUGAGGUGACACAGGAUUUACUAAGGGGGAUAUUUUUCACCGUCAGCGGUCUCCUCGAAGUAAAAGGAGGCUAAGAUCCUAGCACUGUGAUAAGGUCCUUUUUGGAGCUAAUAAACUGAACACUGUGGCCACUCCCCCAGCCAGUAAAGAAAGGACAGGAAUGAGCCCUGUUGCAUGAUGGGUAGGAUGUUUUGUUGGAAAAGUGACCCCAUGCAGCAGAGUCACAUCACCAGCCGGAUCGAGCUCACCACAGUAACACACACGGGCCCCGGAGACAAACAGACGUAAAGUCCGUCAGAUCAUCUGACCUCACCGACUUCAUCACCCCACACACACACAGACACACACACACACACACACACACACACACACACCGAGCGUACACACACACUCCAUUUAGCUUCCUGUCUGUCAGAAAGUGAUCCUAGCGUCAGAUGUAUUUGUUGUGCUUUAUGCGUUACCUGAGAAAUGAAUCGUUGCCAUCUAACACGAUCAGGCCUCCCUCACAGAGGGUUAGUUGUUUACUCUUUGAGGAAACGUACCUUCGGUGUCACAAUGCAGAACUUGUAGUUAAAGGGGAAGUGGUUUGGAUAAGGAACUUUAUUUUUUUUUGUUAUGAUACAAAGGUACAAAGGUACAAACUAUCAAACCUCACACUGUAGGUACACACUCCUUACUGGAUUAUUAAGUCCUGGAUCCACACAUUGUAGCGUCCCUUCAUGACCGCCGGCUUGUCAUCCACAACAUACAUGUAUAACUGUGAUAAACAAUGUAAUAUUGCACGGGAGGAACUCUCUAACCAAACUCAAAGGGCAGAGGAACUGACACUACAAAGACUGUUUUAUAAUAAUAAGAAAAAUAUAAAAGGGGGUGGCUUUUAUUUGAUUUUCCUGUAUGUUUUAAUUGUUUUAUAGGACAAUGAUGUGUCCUAACGCUGGAACUGGAUCAGGUGUGGUUCACUGCAGCUCCCUCUCUCUCCUUCCCUGCUCCUUUUGUUCAGUUAAUCUCGUCAAGAUUAUUUGCCAAACCUGCCAUGCAGGCUGGCGUGUCUUUUAGAUGUUAGCUGCAGAACAGAACAACAGGGCGCAGCAUGUUUCUCCCAGCUAACUCCCAGUAUGUUGACUGUUAACGGUACGUUUUGGUCAGCCGAUGUGUAUAUGGGUACUGGUCGUUUUUGAUUUAACCAUUGUAUAUGUGGUACGCUGUCAGGCCAGUACAAGAACUCUACGGUACACUGUCUUCAGCUCGCUGGCGUCGGCACCUUCGGCCAUCAGCCUGGUCCCGUUCUGCUUUUGCACAUUGUUAAAGGAUCAGGAGAGAUAUUUAGGGACUAAUCUGAGGACAACAAUGAUGAGAAUGAUAUUGUACAUGAAAUCUAGCGGUCUGUAUUUUGAUACUUGAAUGAUUUUUGCUUUUAUAGAUAUCUAUAAAUAUAUGUAUAUGUAUGUAUGUAUGUAUGUAUGUAAUUUUUGACGUUUGUCAAAAGAGAGAAAAGGACUAUGUCUUAUAAAGUUAAACAUAUCGUGAAUAAAUACCCUGUGAUUUAAAAAAGAAAAGAAAAAAAAAAGGCUGAGAAAACAAUGACUCAGAAGAGGGACCUCACUUAAGAAAAAAAAGAUUGUAAAUAAUCUUGGGCUUCCAGUCUUUUUUAUGAUUAUUUUUCAUAAUUGUACAACUAAUAAAUGGCGCAAUUAGAAA